GUGGGGAAUUUUGGACAAUGGGCGCAAGCCUGAUCCAGCAAUGCCGCGUGUGUGAAGAAGGCCUUCGGGUUGUAAAGCACUUUUGUCCGGAAAGAAAUGGCCUGGGUUAAUACCCCGGGUCGAUGACGGUACCGGAAGAAUAAGCACCGGCUAACUACGUGCCAGCAGCCGCGGUAAUACGUAGGGUGCGAGCGUUAAUCGGAAUUACUGGGCGUAAAGCGUGCGCAGGCGGCGAUGCAAGACAGAUGUGAAAUCCCCGGGGUCAACCUGGGAACUGCAUUUGUGGCUGCAUGGCUAGAGUGCGUCAGAGGGGGGUGGAAUUCCGCGUGUAGCAGUGAAAUGCGUAGAGAUGCGGACGAACACCGAUGGCGAAGGCAGCCCCCUGGGAUGACACUGACGCUCAUGCACGAAAGCGUGGGGAGCAAACAGGAUUAGAAACACCAGUAGUCC
rnacentral:rRNA from 1 species